CGCGCGACAGCGCCCCCUGCGAGCCCUAGGAGCACACUGCGCAGGCGCCCAGACUGCUGCAAGGCGCGGAUAUCGGGGCUCUUCUGCUUUGUCGCUGUGUCACCUCUUUCCAGUUGUGCCAGGAGAACGUUAACGCUGAAAGGGAUGCUGCAGACAAAACUACUCGGCACUCCGCAAGGCCCAGGUGUACCUGGUUCUUACCCCAUUUCCUCCGUGGUGCCCGGCUCCAGCACCAUACGCUCUGAGAAACCUUAGGUUGAGCCCAGGCUCUGGUAGUUUCUCCCCUUACAGCAAAAUUAAAACAACUUGUAGUCAGUGAUCUGUGUCGAAGAGUAUAUUAGUAAUCUGUCGCUGCAUAACAAUCACCCCAAAGCUUAACAGCUUAAGACAACAAACAUUUAUUGUCUCACAGAUUCUACAGUGCAGGAGUUUGGGCUGGGCUUGGCUGGUUGUGUCGUGGUCUCUCAUGAGAUUACAGUCAAGGUGUGGGUCAGGGCUGGAGUAUCUCAAUCACAUGACUGUUGGUGGAGGCCUCGGCUUUUCACUGCAUGGACCUCCCAUCGGGCCACUUGGGUGUCCCAGUGACAUCCUCACUUCCCACAAAGCCGGCGAUCCCAGAGAGACCAAGGCAGAAGCCACAAUGUCUUUAAUGAUCUCAUCUCAGUAGUCACACACCAUCACUUCGCUCACAUUCUGUUGAUCACAAUCCAAGCCUUCAGUGUGGGAGAAUCUACACAAAGGGCUGAGUACCAAGAGAGAGGGAUCAUUGGGGGCCAUCUGGGAGUCUGGCUACCACAGAGGGCCUGGCAAUAAUGGUGAGGAUGAUGACUUAGGUGAGGAACAAAGUAUCAUCAAGUUUCAUCCUUGUAUGAUAACCAUUUUCCAAAUCAUAAAAGAGUUGAAUAAAGUUUCUCCCAAUAGGUGGCAGUGCUUUUCCACACUGACCUUCGUUCAUUAAAUAAGUAUGUAUGGAUCACCCGCUUUGUGCCAGCUAUUGUCCUAGGUGCUGAGAAGACACGUGCCUACCCGUGCAGAGCUUACAGAGUGUAACCACUAGGAUGGAGGAAGCAAUCCAACCGCAGGAGUGAAGGAGGGUCCUGGAGAACCAGAGCAUGUCCAAGGCACAGCCAAGAUUUAAGGAUGUCACCUUAAUGUCUGCAAGCAACAGGCACUGCAACUUUCAGAGAGUUCAGAAAAAAUUUUUUUUUCUUUUUUGCGCCACCAGGGAAGCCCUCUUUUUUUUUAAAUGGACCAUUUCAUAGAAUAUUACAAAGGGGUGAUGUCACUCUUCCUUGGGAAUCCAUUCAUUGGUUCUCUGCAGGCUUUUUUUUAAUUGAAGUAUAAUUGAUUUUACAGUGUUGUGCCAUCUCUGCUGCACAGCAAAGCGACUGAGUUAUACACAUAUGUACAUUCUUUUUUUAUAUUGUAGGGUUUUUUUAAUGUUUUAUUUUAGAACAGUUUUAGACUUACAGAAUUAUUGUGAAGACUUAUAUACCACAUACCCAAUUUUCCCUAUUAUUAACAUCUUAGAUUAGUAUAACACAUUUGUCACUAUCAAUGGAUUAAUAUAGAUAUCUUUAUUAACUGAAAUUCAUACUUUAUUGAGAUUUUCUCGGGUUUUCCCUAACGUCCUCUCUCUGUUCCAGGAUCCCAUCCAGGAUGUCACAUUACAUUUAGUACUCAUGUCUCCUAGGCUCCUCUUGGUUGUGACAGUUUCUUAGACUUUCCUUGUUUUUUAUGACCUUGACAGUUUUGAGGAGUACUGGUCAGGUAUUUUAUAUAGUGUCCCUCAUAGCAAUAGUGCAUGCUGUCAGGAUGACUCCUCACAUUUGAUGUUAACCCAGAUCACUUGGCAUCUCCACUGUAAAGUUACUCCUUUUUCUCCUCUUUAUAUUGUACCCUUUGGAUGAAAAUGUGGAGCCCACACUUAAAGAGUAGGAGUUAUACCCUCCCUCUUUAGGGGCUGAGUAUCUAUAUAAAUCAUUUUAAUUUCUA